UACGAAGGGGGCUAGCGUUGUUCGGAAUUACUGGGCGUAAAGGGUGCGUAGGCGGCCCUGUAAGUAUGGUGUGAAAUCUCCCGGCUUAACUGGGAGGGUGCGCUAUAGACUGCGGGGCUCGAGUGUGGGAGAGGAAAGUGGAAUUCCUGGUGUAGCGGUGAAAUGCGUAGAUAUCAGGAGGAACACCGGUGGUGUAAACGGCUUUCUGGACCAUAACUGACGCUGAGGCACGAAAGCGUGGGUAGCAAACAGG
rnacentral:rRNA from 1 species